ACAGAGCACAAACACAGAAUAAGCGGAAACCAAGGCACAAUGUCUGUUCCGCUUGCGUGGCGUGGUGAGUGGAGAGAGGCAGAGGCUGCGUGAAAAACAUUUGGGACUAUACGGCUCCAUUUGCAGAUGCUGGAGACAUCAGGGAGCUCCCUGGUGAUGCUGUGGGUCUUGGUCCUGGAGCUCAGGCCCUUGGCUGGUGCCUCCUCUCUUAUCUCACAGAGCCACCUCAGGGGAGGAGGAACUGGAAGAUAGACAGAAAGAGUGCUGGUUGGAUUCCCGGAAACAUCUUGCUGGAAACAUCACAGCAGAGCAAUGGCACAGCCCAUCAGCCUCACAACAAUACCAAAGGAAAGGGGCUCAGGCUUCUCCCUGGGGCAGAAUAUCCUGUCUGAGCCCUGGCCUUUCCAGUCUUCCCUGAACUCUGAGGAAGCGCCCAGGCUCUGUGAGGCCUGAGGAGGGGUUCAGCACUGUCUUCUCUGAAGGUCCUUUCCAGAGUGGGUGGGCGGCAGGCGUCUCUCCUGCCACUGCCCUGUGAGGCACUUUACAUCCUGUGGGGCUCCCCAGAUUUGCAGGGAAUCAAUGGUCAGUUUGCGAUAUAAACUAA